rnacentral:lncRNA from 1 species
UUCACGAUCGCGUUAGUAGCUAGAAAAUAUGGUUGUUCAAUAGAGCCAUUGGAUUUGUCUCAACGAUGUUCCUAUCUGCCACGACAUUGCAGGAUAUCUAGUUUUACUCAUUUUCUCUGGCUUUGUAAAUAUUGCAGUCUGACGGAAGCCCUACUUCCUUGUCCAAUUGUGUUCCCACCCUCAAAGGAAUACACUGCUGAGGAUUUGGGACAGCAAGAACAAGAAUUGCGAGACCUGCAAGCGGCGACAGCUGCAGCCGCUACCGCUGCUCCCGAUCCUGUGGAGACACAGACGGUCAGACUCCGACUGGUGGUGCCUAUGCGGGUGCUGUCCAGCCAUGCCAACAGAAGAGGAAUGUCUGUGCUGCAACAAAUUACAUCGCGGACAGUUCUAACUGGAGAGGCUCAAUGCAGACCCCAUGGAUCAUGUGUAUGUGACAGACCAUUGGUGUUACAUAUAGAUACAGGGGUGCUGGAGAUGUUCUUCAGAACCUCCCAUAUCAACUGGCAGCGGCAGCCUAGACAAGCUGGACCAGGAGGGCAUAUGAUUAACAAACAAUAACGGUUGGUGGCCUACAGAUUAUUUUUGGAGUGAGUUCUACGUGGCGAGAAGCUACGCAGAGGACACCGAAUCCCCUUGCCUGGGGGUGUUGUUGAGGCCAUAGCAAUUUAUCCCUCACACGAUAGACAGUAUGUUGGAUAACAUUUUUAUUGAUGACUCUCAAAAAGAGAUGUGAAAGGUCGCAUAACAACUAUCUCCCCUUGUAUCAAAGUGACUCCGAAUAACUCACUUCACCCCCCAAACACACCAUAUGCAAAUGUUCCUUUUGUAGAGCUGUAGUAUUUAUUAUAGGCGUUAGUAGUAUAUUAUUCUUCUGCUGUACAUACAGUAUGUCAUACGUUGCUAUAACUGCAUACUUCUAUGUAAACUCACCUUCGUCUCCAGAGCAAAUAAUCUUUGUCUUGAAUACAAGCUUAUUUCCUAUAGCUACUGUUUUAAUGAAACAUGUUUACUUGCCAACAAAUGAAAGUAGAAAUUAUACACCAACUCCCUGCAUUUUUUGUUUUAGCAAUAAGAUUCUAG